rnacentral:rRNA from 1 species
UACGAAGGGGGCUAGCGUUGCUCGGAAUCACUGGGCGUAAAGCGCACGUAGGCGGCUUUUUAAGUCAGGGGUGAAAUCCUGGAGCUCAACUCCAGAACUGCCUUUGAUACUGGGAAGCUUGAGUCCGGGAGAGGCGAGUGGAACUCCGAGUGUAGAGGUGAAAUUCGUAGAUAUUCGGAAGAACACCAGUGGCGAAGGCGGCUCACUGGCCCGGUACUGACGCUGAGGUGCGAAAGCGUGGGGAGCAAACAGG